AUUGAACGCUGGCGGCAGGCCUAACACAUGCAAGUCGAACGAGCGGCGGACGGGUGAGUAAUGUUUGGGGAUCUGCCCGAUAGAGGGGGAUAACUACUGGAAACGGUAGCUAAUACCGCAUACCAUCGGAUGAACCCAUAUGGGAUUAGCUAGUAGGUGGGGUAACGGCUCACCUAGGCGACGAUCCCUAGCUGGUCUGAGAGGAUGAUCAGCCACACGGGGACUGAGAAACGGCCCAGACUCCUACGGGAGGCAGCAGUGGGGAAUAUUGCACAAUGGGCGCAAGCCUGAUGCAGCCAUGCCGCGUGUAUGAAGAAGGCCUUAGGGUUGUAAAGUACUUUCAGCGGGGAGGCGUUACCCGCAGAAGAAGCACCGGCUAACUCCGUGCCAGCAGCCGCGGUAAUAC
rnacentral:rRNA from 1 species